GGUGCGAGCGUUGUCCGGAAUUACUGGGUGUAAAGAGCUCGUAGGUGGUUUGUCGCGUUGUUCGUGAAAUCUCACGGCUUAACUGUGAGCGUGCGGGCGAUACGGGCAGACUUGAGUACUGCAGGGGAGACUGGAAUUCCUGGUGUAGCGGUGGAAUGCGCAGAUAUCAGGAGGAACACCGGUGGCGAAGGCGGGUCUCUGGGCAGUAACUGACGCUGAGGAGCGAAAGCGUGGGGAGCGAACAGGAUUAGAUACCCUGGUAGUCCACGCCGUAAACGGUGGGUACUAGGUGUGGGUUUCCUUCCUUGGGAUCCGUGCCGUAGCUAACGCAUUAAGUACCCCGCCUGGGGAGUACGGCCGCAAGGCUAAGACUCAAAGAAAUUGACGGGGGCCCGCACAAGCGGCGGAGCAUGUGGAUUAAUUCGAUGCAACGCGAAGAACCUUACCUGGGUUUGACAUGCACAGGACGCCGGCAGAGAUGUCGGUUCCCUUGUGGCCUGUGUGCAGGUGGUGCAUGGCUGUCGUCAGCUCGUGUCGUGAGAUGUUGGGUUAAGUCCCGCAACGAGCGCAAC
rnacentral:rRNA from 1 species